rnacentral:rRNA from 1 species
UGCAGUCGAGCGAACAGAUAAGGAGCUUGCUCCUUUGACGUUAGCGGCGGACGGGUGAGUAACACGUGGAUAACCUACCUAUAAGACUGGGAUAACUUCGGGAAACCGGAGCUAAUACCGGAUAACAUAUUGAACCGCAUGGUUCAAUAGUGAAAGGCGGCUUUGCUGUCACUUAUAGAUGGAUCCGCGCCGUAUUAGCUAGUUGGUAAGGUAACGGCUUACCAAGGCAACGAUACGUAGCCGACCUGAGAGGGUGAUCGGCCACACUGGAACUGAGACACGGUCCAGACUCCUACGGGAGGCAGCAGUAGGGAAUCUUCCGCAAUGGGCGAAAGCCUGACGGAGCAACGCCGCGUGAGUGAUGAAGGUCUUCGGAUCGUAAAACUCUGUUAUCAGGGAAGAACAAAUGUGUAAGUAACUGUGCACAUCUUGACGGUACCUGAUCAGAAAGCCACGGCUAACUACGUGCCAGCAGCCGCGGUAAUACGUAGGUGGCAAGCGUUAUCCGGAAUUAUUGGGCGUAAAGCGCGCGUAGGCGGUUUUUUAAGUCUGAUGUGAAAGCCCACGGCUCAACCGUGGAGGGUCAUUGGAAACUGGAAAACUUGAGUGCAGAAGAGGAAAGUGGAAUUCCAUGUGUAGCGGUGAAAUGCGCAGAGAUAUGGAGGAACACCAGUGGCGAAGGCGACUUUCUGGUCUGUAACUGACGCUGAUGUGCGAAAGCGUGGGGAUCAAACAGGAUUAGAUACCCUGGUAGUCCACGCCGUAAACGAUGAGUGCUAAGUGUUAGGGGGUUUCCGCCCCUUAGUGCUGCAGCUAACGCAUUAAGCACUCCGCCUGGGGAGUACGACCGCNAGGUUGAAACUCNAAGGAAUUGA